rnacentral:lncRNA from 10 species
CGACACCCACUUAACUUCGGAGUUAGUGGGACACCUUUCUUUUUGCUUAGUACGCUUUUCUGCUAUUCCUGCCGCAUAACUCUCUCUUCCCCAGGCUUUUCCCAUCUCCAUCCUAUUCUCUCGCAGGCAGGUUUUUCUUCCGCCUCUCUGGGGAUUUUCGCGUUGGUUCUCCCUGCCCCCAGGAGUGAGGCGGGUAACGCCCACGCCUACCUCCGGUGCUGGGGGAAAAGAUUACUUCCCAGAUGCAGUAUUUACAUCUCCUCCGCCCUACUCUUCCAACCCUGCCUGAAAUAAGUGUGGUUCUCCUGUCUGUCAGACUAUGAAGAGUUCUCAAAUAUGUCUUUCCCAGCGAGGGAGAGGAGAGUGAGUAUCCAGGAACUUUAAUGCGAUAGGACAUCAAUAUGAGUGUUUAUAGGGAAAGCCAGUGAUCCUAUUGUUAGACGCGAAAUCAAGACAUAUGAUCUGAUUUUUUGUUUUACUUUUUGUUUUUGAGGUAUAACAUUCAGUAAAGCGCACAAAUCAAAAGUGUGCGUCUAUGAGAUUCAUCCAUAUUGUUGUGUGUAACAAUGGUCCAUUCUUUUUCACUACUGUGUAUUACUUCAUUAUAUAAAUAUUCAACGAUUUGUGUACUCAUCCUACUGUUGGUGGACAUUUGAGUUGCUUCAUGUUUCUGCCUUUGAUGAAGCUGCUGCAGACAUUCUUACACAUGUCUUUUGGUGGACAUAGCAUUCAUUUAUGUUGGAUAUAUAUAUAUACCUAGGAUUGGAUUCCUGGUUCAUAGAGUGUUCACAUAUUAAACUUUAAAUACACUGCCAGUUUUUAAAUUCGUAUAACAAUUUAGGUUCCAACCAGUGAUAUGAGAUUUCCGGUUGUUUCACAUCUUUGCCAGUAUUGGUAUUUUCAGUCUUUUUAAUUUAAAAAGGGGGGGGAAACUUCAGCCUCCACGAUCGAUGUUUCUCAAGUGUCAAGGAAAAUGGAGCCUAGGAGGGCAGCCCCACAAGCAGCGUGAUGGGCAUUUAAGCCGACGCAUGUGCCAGGUCCUAGAACAGAGUAACUUCCCCAUCUCAACACAAUAAAAUGGUGAUAUGAGA